GAUCCUGGCUCGGGAUGAACGCUAGCUACAGGCUUAACACAUGCAAGUCGAGGGGCAUCAGGAAGAAAGCUUGCUUUCUUUGCUGGCGACCGGCGCACGGGUGAGUAACACGUAUCCAACCUGCCCUUUACUCGGGGAUAGCCUUUCGAAAGAAAGAUUAAUACCCGAUGGGAUAAUCAUUCCGCAUGGGUUUGAUUAUUAAAGGAUUCCGGUAAAGGAUGGGGAUGCGUUCCAUUAGGUUGUUGGUGAGGUAACGGCU
rnacentral:rRNA from 1 species